rnacentral:rRNA from 2 species
GAUUUCCCAACUUCGGUUAUAAGAUCCCUCAAAGAUGAUGAGGUUAAUAGGUUCGAGGUGGAAGCAUGGUGACAUGUGGAGCUGACGAAUACUAAUCGAUCGAAGACUUAAUCAAA